CUGCAGAAAGAGCUCUGUCACAUAUCGGCUGCUAGUCAGAAUGAUGGGAAAGAUAACGACUGUGAUGGUCUAAUAGAUGAGGACGGUUACUAUGGUGAUAAAUAUGGUGUUUACAAACAAGAUCAUGAUCUAGAUGGUGCCUUUGGUGAAGAUUAUGGAGGUGACCUAGUCUCUAACCGGGCUGUCGUACAGACACUGAAGGAACCGGAGUGUAUUGAAAUAAAAAAGGUCGAAGGCCAGUGUUGGAAGGCUUGCAGAUGUUCGUG